rnacentral:rRNA from 1 species
AUUGAACGCUGGCGGCAUGCCUUACACAUGCAAGUCGAACGGCAGCACGGGUGCUUGCACCUGGUGGCGAGUGGCGAACGGGUGAGUAAUACAUCGGAACGUACCUUAUCGUGGGGGAUAACGCAGCGAAAGUUGCGCUAAUACCGCAUACGCCCUGAGGGGGAAAGCGGGGGACCGUAAGGCCUCGCGCGAUUAGAGCGGCCGAUGUCUGAUUAGCUUGUUGGUGAGGUAAAAGCUCACCAAGGCGAUGAUCAGUAGCUGGUCUGAGAGGACGAUCAGCCACACUGGGACUGAGACACGGCCCAGACUCCUACGGGAGGCAGCAGUGGGGAAUUUUGGACAAUGGGGGCAACCCUGAUCCAGCAAUGCCGCGUGAGUGAAGAAGGCCUUCGGGUUGUAAAGCUCUUUUGUCAGGGAAGAAACACCGGCUCUAACACAGUCCGGGAAUGACGGUACCUGAAGAAUAAGCACCGGCUAACUACGUGCCAGCCGCCGCGGUAA